CCUGAGAAACCCAAAAGAUCGAAUGGGGAGAUUCAUCGUCAGCGGCGCUGGCUUCCGUGCGACGCGCGAUGGCGGGGACCUCGGUCUCGCGCCACGCCGUCGCUGCGGCAUGCCCGGCGUCGUCGGCGUGCACUUCUCCCCUAGUAGGACGUCGCGACCCGUUGGGUGUCGGAUCGAUGGCCGGACGGUCGUCUGUCGUGCUCACGCGCUUCAGACCUGCCGGUCGAUUUUCCGACUGCCCGGCGGUAUCGAACGUUGAAAACUGGUACUGGGCCGCAUUCAGUGCGUUCCUGGCUCGUCGGCAGGCUCGUCUCGCUCGGAUUUACGGACCUAGCGCCGUUGCCGGGCGCUUGGCGCGGCCGUUAGUCGGCGAUGUCCUCGGACUGGCUCUUACCGAUGCG
rnacentral:rRNA from 1 species